GCCUGGUGGUUCCUCGAGGCAGCUCGUCUGUGCUGAUCCAUGGGGUUUUAUUUAACAGGCACAUAACGAUCUCUGCGAUUUAAUGCUUGGAAGUUGCCGUUCCCAUGCAGCUUCCACAGCCCGGUUGCAGAAACAUGU
rnacentral:snoRNA from 1 species